ensembl:miRNA
AGGCCUGGGUGUGGGCUGGAGCUGAGGACUGAGUCUCACCUGGCUCCUGACUCUGUGCCCAUAG